rnacentral:snRNA from 1 species
GAAAAUAGUCAUCAACCAAA